rnacentral:rRNA from 2 species
UAACGACUCUCGGCAACGGAUAUCUCGGCUCUCGCAUCGAUGAAGAACGUAGCGAAAUGCGAUACGUGGUGUGAAUUGCAGAAUUCCGUGAACCAUCGAGUUUUUGAACGCAAGUUGCGCCCGAAGCCAUUCGGCCGAGGGCACGCCUGCCUGGGCGUCACGC